UACGUAGGGUGCGAGCGUUAAUCGGAAUUACUGGGCGUAAAGCGUGCGCAGGCGGUUUGCUAAGACAGGUGUGAAAGCCCCGGGCUCAACCUGGGAACUGCAAUGGAAACUGGCGGGCUUGAGUGUGGCAGAGGGGGGUGGGAAUUCCGCGUGUAGCAGUGAAAUGCGUAGAGAUGCGGAGGAACACCGAUGGCGAAGGCAGCCCCCUGGGCCAACACUGACGCUCAGGCACGAAAGCGUGGGGAGCAAACAGG
rnacentral:rRNA from 1 species